rnacentral:rRNA from 1 species
UGCCAGACUCCUACGGGAGGCAGCAGUGGGGAAUAUUGCACAAUGGGGGAAACCCUGAUGCAGCGACGCCGCGUGAGCGAUGAAGUAUUUCGGUAUGUAAAGCUCUAUCAGCAGAGGAGAAAAUGACGGUACCUGACUAAGAAGCCCCGGCUAACUACGUGCCAGCAGCCGCGGUAAUACGUAGGGGGCAAGCGUUAUCCGGAUUUACUGGGUGUAAAGGGAGCGUAGACGGCUGUGCAAGCCAGAUGUGAAAGCCCGGGGCUCAACCCCGGGACUGCAUUUGGAACUGUGUGGCUGGAGUGUCGGAGAGGCAGGCGGAAUUCCUAGUGUAGCGGUGAAAUGCGUAGAUAUUAGGAGGAACACCAGUGGCGAAGGCGGCCUGCUGGACGAUGACUGACGUUGAGGCUCGAAAGCGUGGGGAGCAAACAGGAUUAGAUACCCUUGUA